rnacentral:tRNA from 1 species
CGGGGCGUAGCGCAGCUUGGCUAGCGCGCUUGGUUCGGGACCAAGAGGUCGCGGGUUCAAAUCCCGCCGCCCCGACCA